rnacentral:rRNA from 1 species
GACAGAGGGUGCAAACGUUGUUCGGAAUUACUGGGCGUAAAGCGUGCGUAGACGGCUAUCUAAGUCGGGUGUGAAAGCCCCGGGCUCAACCUGGGAAUUGCAUUCGAGACUGAAUAGCUAGGGUACGGUAGAGGGAAGUGGAAUUUCCGGUGUAGCGGUGAAAUGCGUAGAUAUCGGAAGGAACAUCAGUGGCGAAAGCGACUUCCUGGACCAGUACCGACGUUCAGGCACGAAAGCGUGGGGAGCAAACAGG